UUGCUGAAGUGUCAUAUAGUAGCGGACGGGUGAGGUAAUGCAUGAGAAGCUGCCAUUGGAGGGGGACGAACAGUUGGAAACGGCUGCUAAUACCCCGUAUGCCGGAGGGUGAAAGGGAGUAAUCCGCCCGAUGAGGUGCUCAUGUCCUAUCAGCUGGUUGGUGGGGUAACGGCCUACCAAGGCGACGACGGGUAGCCGGCCUGAGAGGGUGAACGGCCACACUGGAACUGAGAUACGGUCCAGACUCCUACGGGAGGCAGCAGUGGGGAAUAUUGGGCAAUGGGGGGCAACCCUGACCCAGCGACGCCGCGUGGGGGAAGACGGCCUUCGGGUUGUAAACCUCUUUUGUACGGGAAGAAGGAAGUGACGGUACUGUACGAAUAAGUCCCGGCUAACUACGUGCCAGCAGCAGC
rnacentral:rRNA from 1 species